AAUCCAUAGGUUAAUGAGGCGAACCGGGGGAACUGAAACAUCUAAGUACCCCGAGGAAAAGAAAUCAACCGAGAUUCCCCCAGUAGCGGCGAGCGAACGGGGAGGAGCCCAGAGCCUGAAUCAGCAUGUGUGUUAGUGGAAGCGUCUGGAAAGGCGCGCGAUACAGGGUGACAGCCCCGUACACAAAAGCGCAUGUGCUGUGAGCUCGAUGAGUAGGGCGGGACACGUGGUAUCCUGUCUGAAUAUGGGGGGACCAUCCUCCAAGGCUAAAUACUCCUGACUGACCGAUAGUGAACCAGUACCGUGAGGGAAAGGCGAAAAGAACCCCGGCGAGGGGAGUGAAAAAGAACCUGAAACCGUGUACGUACAAGCAGUGGGAGCACCCUUUGGGUGUGACUGCGUACCUUUUGUAUAAUGGGUCAGCGACUUAUAUUCUGUAGCAAGGUUAACCGAAUAGGGGAGCCGGAGGGAAACCGAGUCUUAACCGGGCGUUAAGUUGCAGGGUAUAGACCCGAAACCCGGUGAUCUAGCCAUGGGCAGGUUGAAGGUUGGGUAACACUAACUGGAGGACCGAACCGACUAAUGUUGAAAAAUUAGCGGAUGACCUGUGGCUGGGGGUGAAAGGCCAAUCAAACCGGGAGAUAGCUGGUUCUCCCCGAAAGCUAUUUAGGUAGCGCCUCGUGAAUUCAUCUCCGGGGGUAGAGCACUGUUUCGGCUAGGGGGCCAUCCCGGCUUACCAACCCGAUGCAAACUGCGAAUACCGGAGAAUGUUAUCACGGGAGACACACGGCGGGUGCUAACGUCCGUCGUGAAGAGGGAAACAACCCAGACCGCCAGCUAAGGUCCCAAAGUCAUGGUUAAGUGGGAAACGAUGUGGGAAGGCCCAGACAGCCAGGAUGUUGGCUUAGAAGCAGCCAUCAUUUAAAGAAAGCGUAAUAGCUCACUGGUCGAGUCGGCCUGCGCGGAAGAUGUAACGGGGCUAAACCAUGCACCGAAGCUGCGGCAGCGACACUGUGUGUUGUUGGGUAGGGGAGCGUUCUGUAAGCCUGUGAAGGUGUGUCGUGAGGCAUGCUGGAG
rnacentral:rRNA from 1 species